AUUAGCUCAGUUGGUCAGAGCAUGGUGCUAUUAAUACCAAGGAUGUUGGUUCUAUCCCCACAU
rnacentral:tRNA from 1 species